CUCUCUGGACCUCCCAAAGCGCUGAUUACAGGUGUGAGCCACAAUGCCCGGCCUCGUGAUUCUUACAAUUGUAUCACUCCUGUGUUUGUCCGGGGUUUAUCACUGCAGCGGCCCCUUCUCCGUCCAUCUGGGGCCCGCUGUCCCCUCAGGAUGCUGUCAGCCUUGGAGCUGGCAGAGACCAGUCUGGCCCUGGAUGCCCAGACCUUACCUCUCCUCUGAUGCAGGGUCCUCUUCCUCCACCUGGUUCACCCCCCAGCUUCCUGGCACAGUUCUUGCUCCCUGUAGCAGCAAGAGACUGAGCUUAAUGCCAGGAAAUCUGGGCUGUGGGACAUGAGGUUGGGCUGCCAGUGAGGGUGGCACUGAGCUGACCACCCAGGACAAUGGUGGCACCUGGGGCUAUGGCGAUGGGGGCCACAUGGGCUGGGCAAGGCACUCUGGAGAUGGCUGCCCAGAAGGAUGAUGACCUGGUAGGACCAGGCCUAAGCGACCCUGUGUGAGGCAGGAGAAGCCAGCAGCUUGCCCCCAGCAGUGUGCGGUGUUUGUGAGGAAGCUGCCGGCCCAGCAGGGCACCAGGAAAGCCCUCCCGUCUCCAAAGAGGGCCUGCACAGCUUUGCCAAUGGUUUUUUUCCAGGGUAGCUGCCAGGUCCUGGAAUGAGCAAGACUCAGCUGCCCAGAGGGGUCCCUGCGGACAGCAGGGGCUGGGAUGGGACACCUGAUAGCCAGUGAGAAAUGCAAGCACAACUUGGGAGAAACACAAGUCUUAUUUUCAGUCUUACAGAUAAGGCGAUCCUCAUUUUGUCAUGUGCAUUUGUGUACCCACUGAAUAGCAAAAUAACAGCAAGAAAAGAUGACAAUUUAUAUUUUCAUAGACCCAGAAAAAGUAACAGGCAACCCUGUGUUUCAAAUUUUCGAUUAGUUGAUUUUACAGUGCAAACAUGGAAGAAUCUGCAGCAUGGUAGGAGAAAAUAAUUUUAUUAAUUUUAUAAUUUUACUGAGAUUGCUAUUUAAAAUAAUUAGAUGUGGGGAUACUACAGGAAAAUAGGAAAACGUUCAUGCUGCAGAUGAGUUUUUCAGAUGAGUUUUAACAAAUAUUUUUGAAUCUUGAAUCUUUGAAUAAGAUGAAAUUAUUCUGAAUAUGUGUGUUUGGGUGAUAACAGUUGCCAACAAAAAUAUGGCUCAUAACACCAGUUUCAUUUGAUUGCCUUUGGUACAUUUUUUAAAAUGCUACACUACUUUAUUCCACAUUAGGUGAAAUUUAUUUUUUCUUAAAGUCAGAUUUUAUCAUGUAAAAAAACAUUCUGGAUAUGUAGGUAAAUUUGAUUUAUUAUCUGAUUAUAGGAGUUUCUGACUGUAACUGGCAUUGUUUGGAUACAGGAGAGUUAAUUAAUCAUCAUUAAUGAAUCACAGUUAAUAUGUCCAUUACAGUUGAGUGCUACAUCUUUACACUGGAAGAAGCAGUGGAUGUGUAGCAGAAACUUUCGAGUAAAAUAGUUCUGGGUUCUUAAUCCCUUCUCUGAUAUCUACCAACUCUGUGUCCUUAGGCAAGUUAAUUACCAUCACUUUCCUGAUCCAUAAAGGGAAUAAUACCAAUGUCUACAAAAUACAGUCAGAGUGAAGUUUCAUGAAGUGAUGAAUGUAAAUAACCUGGCAGAGUGCCUGGGGAUACAGCAUGAUUCAUCACGAUACCUACUAAUAUUAAUACUGUCCAGUUAGAAAAUUAUUUAGAUAAAAUCAUCUGGGUAAUCAUCACGGUGUAUUAGCAACACAAAAUCAAUUUAUAACCUCUUUUUACUCCUGCUGGAGAAGCUGUAAAGCCUAAAGAUUUGCCUUCUCAGUUUCCUUCUGGCUAGAGCUAGUCAUGAGACCUUGUGGCCAAUGGAAUGAUACCAACAUACAAGACUUCUGGAAAAACCGGACAGACUCAGGGUCCAUUUGGACCUCAGGGCCCUCUAGGAUACCCAGGACCUCCAGGUGUCAAGGGUGCAGAUGGAAAUCGGGGUCUGAAGGGCCAUAAGAUGAAAAGGGUCCACAGGGUCAGCCGGGUCCUCGAGGUGCCACUGGGAACUCUGGAGCUAA